UAACUCUUUAAAUCGUUCUCAUACCUCAUACAAGGACUCGUCAUCAGAUUGUUGAAAUGUGGUAAUUUCAUUUUUGAGCCUAGCAUUCUUGCUUAGUGCAAAAUACUUUAUCACAAAAUGUUUCGCCAGUUCUUUCCAUGUGGAAAUAGAACCGGAUGGUAAGGAAUUCAACCAUGCUCAUGCAUGAUCUGGACACGAAUAUGGGAAAAGCUUUAAUCUUAAGGUGUCUUUAAAUAUCUGGUAACUGGAAAGAAUCACUUCCAUAAUUAAGCGAAGGUACAAAUGCGGAUAUUCAACAAGCAUCCCACUGAACUAUCCCAUUGUUUACAACAUCUAGGACAUCACUGGUUUUUAAAUCAAAAUGAGGGGCCUUAAUCUCGAGGCUUACAAUCCUUAGAUUGAGUUCAUUGAAUAAGGGCACAUCAUACUGACUAAUCACUCAAUCUUUGUCAUCAAGAACAAUGAUCAGAUUCUGACUAUUACAAGCUAUGUCUUCUCUUGGAUUUUGAUUCAUUUCUUCGACUAAUCUUUGGGCUAAUCAUUCCCUUUUUGUUUUCCUAAAAGUACGUUCAAUUUCUGGGUCAAUUGGCAAUAGAUUGAUAAUUCAGUCUAUGUUCAUAAACCUUGAAAAAUCACAAAAAUAAUAAAGUUAAAAUUAAUAAUAGAAAAAAUAAAAAAUAAAAAAAUCCAAACUGAAAAGUAAUUAUCUUCACAAAUAACAACAAAAUAAAAUCUCUGGCAACUAUGCCAAAAACUUGUGUCCCGUGAUUAUGUGCAAGUGUACACGAUUGUACAAAUAAUAAGUAGUAAGUAAAGAGUAUCGUCUCCACAGGGACUGUUGUAUGAAUUAUUUGCAAUGUCAAUUUUAAUCAAUUUGGAAGAAAACAAAUAAAAGAGAAUAGUGUUGAUGAGAAUCGCAAUUUAAGUUAAUAACGAAGAAAUAAGAAUUCAACGACCCACAAAAUAAAACAACAUACCUUGCAGAAAAUAAUCACAACAGGAAAUAAACACAAGAUUUAAUAUAACACAACAUGAAUAAACUAAAAUAAAUAUUUCACUUAACAAAACUUUAUUGGUAUUUAUAGAAAUAAUAUUAGGAAGGAUCGUGACAAUAAAAAAAAUUCAUUAAACCCAUUUUAUUUAAGGAAUAAGCUUCUCUUGAAGUCCUAUUAUGUCCCCAAGCUAAUUAGCAUAUGCCUAUGUCAAAACUAACCUAGAAAUCACCCUCUCAGGCAUUUACAUAGUUUAUGCAUACAACAAUUAUUUUUCAAUAUCAACAUGAUAUGUACCAUUUAGGUCUUUUGUCAAUUAACCAUUACCUCUUCUCAGAUUAAAUAAUUAAUUCAUUAACCUAAAAAUGUUGGCCAUACAUUUACAAGUAUAAUCAUGAAUUAAACAUAAAUGAAUGAAAUAAUUAUUUGCACAAAAUAUUCAAAAAACAAAAACCAAUUUACUCAAAUCAAGAUUCAUUAAGUCAUGUCAUAUCAAAUUGAAAACAUAAAAAUGAGAUGCAAUAUUGUCUCUCGACAUAGAAAACAAUAAUUAAUAGUAAAGAGAAGGGAAGGAAAGAGUGAUCGAGAGGGAUUAUCCACAACCAUUUCACAAUAAGAAGAGGAAAUUGUUGACUAUUGGGGGUUAUCUACGGUUGAUCAUUGAGGCUUCACAUGGUGGCUUUCCUCUUCAUUUUUAUGCGAAAUUAUCUAGACAUCUUCAAGUCAUCCUCAUAGCAGCUUUUAUUUCGGCAAGUUUUUUCCCUUAUUUUGUGGAAAUCAAGUGUUUAGCAAGCCAUGAGUAUGGCAAGAACAUUUUAGAAAAGAAAUGAUGUAUGCUCAAUGGUCUGUGGCGUGUUUCUCU
rnacentral:lncRNA from 1 species